rnacentral:rRNA from 1 species
GACGUAGGGCGCGAGCGUUGUCCGGAUUUAUUGGGCGUAAAGAGCUCGUAGGCGGCUUGUCGCGUCGACUGUGAAAACCCGCGGCUCAACUGUGGGCGGGCAGUCGAUACGGGCAGGCUAGAGUUCGGUAGGGGAGACUGGAAUUCCUGGUGUAGCGGUGAAAUGCGCAGAUAUCAGGAGGAACACCGGUGGCGAAGGCGGAUCUCUGGGCCUUACCUGACGCUGAGGCGCGAAAGCUAGGGGGAGCGAACAGG